rnacentral:snRNA from 1 species
GCUUGUAUGAGACGGGGUAAGUA